rnacentral:rRNA from 1 species
UCUGGCUCUCGGGCCCGAGUUGUAAUUUGUAGAGGAUGCUUUUGGUGCGGCGCCUUCUGAGUUCCCUGGAACGGGACGCCAGAGAGGGUGAGAGCCCCGUAGAGUUGGACGCCUAACCUCUGUAAAGCUCCUUCGACGAGUCGAGUAGUUUGGGAAUGCUGCUCAAAAUGGGAGGUAAAUUUCUUCUAAAGCUAAAUACCGGCUGGAGACCGAUAGCGCACAAGUAGAGUGAUCGAAAGAUGAAAAGCACUUUGAAAAGAGGGUUAAACAGCACGUGAAAUUGUUGAAAGGGAAGCGCUUGUGACCAGACUUGUGCCUUGCCAAUCAUCCGGCGUUCUCGCCGGUGCACUUGGCUUGGCCCAGGCCAGCAUCAGUUUUCUCAGGGGGAGAAAAGCGCCGGGAACGUAGCUCCCUCGGGAGUGUUAUAGCCCGGCGCACAAUACCUCUAGGAGGACUGAGGACCGCGCAUUGCAAGGAUGCUGGCGUAAUGGUCAUCAGCGACCCGUCUU